rnacentral:lncRNA from 1 species
AUGCUUCUGUUGGACCAGGAGACUUCAAAAAAAAAAAAAAUUAAUCCAAUUUUAUUUGGGAUGAUUUAUGGAGAGCACACAACAGCCCCAAACACCUCGGCACUUUCCAUGGCAGGUGUUCUGAAGCCCGACUUCAUGUCCCCUCUGCUCACCUUCAAGGUCACUGCAGCUGAGAUGAAGAGUUGCUAUAUGCAGACAGCGUCCCACCUCAAGCACCCACAGUCUCUGCCUUUCUUGGCUUCCUCCUGCCUGAGGGCUUUCUGCACCAAGGAUGCUUCUAAGCCUUCCCAGAACAGUGUGAAGUCUGACAGCUUUAAUUCUCAACAGUAAGCCAAAGGAGUUGGAGGAGAAAUAACCCCAGCUCCUAGCUCUGCUGGGAUAGUUCUGGAAUGCACUCUAAAUAUUCCUCAGAUCAUCCUAGUGCGAUAAGCUUAGGAAAUAACGUGCAGCUCUCCUUGCUUCUCUUCUCACCUCCCUACCCUCUCAGGUGUGUCACCUGGACUCAGGUCCUGAGUCCCUCAUCUCAGUGUCUGCUUCUGCCUGGUUCCUGUCCAGAAACACUUCCUAAGUCUAUGUUUUUCAAGGUGUCUGCCAUGAAUUCAGUGUUGGACCCAACCAGCAUUUUCAAACAAUAGGAAAUAGUAGUGUGCAUCCCCAUUAGUGAGUGUAAGGACUAUAUCAUGGACACUUUGGUUUGGCUCCACAGAUGAAUGUACACUGGGUCAUGAUAAGAAUUUAUUUCUUCCUGUGCAUCGUGGUCAACAGAGUUUCUAAGUGCUUUUGACAUUUUACUUGUUAAAAGCCAAUAUAAUUUCAAUAAGGGAAAUGAGAUCAGAGAGAGGAAGAAAACAGCAUCUGAAUUUGGAAGUGACAUGUCCCAUAGGAUGAAGACAUGGAAUGAGCCUGGCCGCCAGCUUUAGCUUUGCAGCAAAUGUGUUGCGUGGUGUGCAGCAGGUCCUGUAACCCCCACGUUUCCUUUUCCACAUUUCUAAAUUGAGAGGCUUCUAGGAGAAUAAAGAAGAUUGUUUUUUUUUCCUCUUCUCCUCU